rnacentral:piRNA from 1 species
UGCUGUUCAUAAUACAAAGAGCAU